UACGAAGGGGCUAGCGUUGCUCGGAAUCACUGGGCGUAAAGGGUGCGUAGGCGGGUUUUUAAGUCAGGGGUGAAAUCCUGGAGCUCAACUCCAGAACUGCCUUCGAUACUGGCGAUCUUGAGUCCGGAAGAGGUGAGUGGAACUCCUAGUGUAGAGGUGGAAUUCGUAGAUAUUAGGAAGAACACCAGUGGCGAAGGCGGCUCACUGGUCCGGUACUGACGCUGAGGUGCGAAAGCGUGGGGAGCAAACAGGG
rnacentral:rRNA from 1 species